rnacentral:lncRNA from 1 species
UUUUUUUUUUUUUUUUUUUUGUCAAACGAUAGAUUUUGUUAGAUUAGAUGUUAGAUUAGCCACCAGAGGGGUUUGAACCCACACACCGUCAUGCAAGGGCUCAACACCUUUCCACCACUGUAGUAUAAGGCCACUAGCACACUUUUUCCACUCUAAGACUAGUGCAAUCUAACUUAGGUUGCAUACAUUAGUCUCAACCACAAUUCAUAAGAAUUUCAUAUCCUUGCCAUUUAUUUAUUAGAAGCAGAUUAAAUUUGACAUAAGUUUCUGUAUGUUACUUUAAAAUUUGAUUGAAACGCCCAUUCUGAAAUGAGACACACUUGAAGGAAAAAAAAAAAGAGUUAACUUUAAUAUUUAAAAGUUAAAACUAAAAUGAAGAGGGAGGGGCGGAAGACAACUAAAAAACCUUACCUCCAGAAUGGUGUAAAUAGGCACUGUAGUCUCUCCAUCAAUGACAACACUCUUAAGAAGUGAACUGUGACGACGACCAUAGGCAAGUAAUAUAUGCUCUGACGUAGGAGAGAACUGCCACAAAAAUCAAGGAAUAACAAAAUGGAAUAAGUGUACAAUGAAAAUACAAAUUCUUUGCUUGAUCAAAAAGAAAUAUAAAGGAAAAAAAAAACUUCAAAUGAUUAGGUCAUGAAUCUUUUGCAUAUAAAAAAAAUUAUCAAUUUAUUGCUUAUUUGUUCUAAUCAUAAUGGCAGUGCAUUGGAAAUCUAAGUCAUAUACCAUCAGCUGUUGGAUUGAAUAUUGAAACAACAUGAUCACACAUCAACAAUACAAGGCAAACUAUAACAGAUUCCCCAUACAUAUAACAUACCUAUGUAUGUAUGUGUUUAUAUACCGCUACAUAACAACACCAUGCUUCAACUUUAGAUUUUCUGGUGGCAUAUGCCUUUUAAAGAGGUCGCACUUGGUGCGAUGGCAAGUGCCUUCGCCCAUGAGCGGUAGGUCUCGGGUUCGAGACUUGGGAGCAGCCUCUCCAUAAAUGGGGGUAAGGCUAGCCGACAUUCACCUCUCCCAGACCCUGCGUAAAGCGGGAGCCUUGUGCACUGGGUACGACCUUUUAUAUGCCUUUUCAAAAAUAUAUGCAAAUGCAACUUACUACAUUCUAUCCGCAAAUGCAAUUUAUUACAUUCUAAGCACAUAACAGAUAUCUUAUCAUAACUCCUGAGUCUCUAACUCAACUAAAGCUAAGCUGAGCAUUGGCAUGAAUUAUUGAGCUCUUAUGCUGAGAUUUCAAGGGAUGCACUCCAUAUGGGGCUACUAACCUUAGUUUUCAGUUAAAAUGAAACAUUUAAGUUUCCACUAUAGAUUUUCUUUAGUCUUAGGGAAAACAGUUAAACAAGUAAAGAAUGGUUGGAAAAUCAAUGAGAAACUAAUGAUUAAGAUGAACCAAUAAGUCAAACAUCUUCAAAAUGUAGCUGACCUGAAUAGAUGUUAGGCAGUGGGCAGCUCUUAUUGCCCGGGAUGCAAGAACCGUUCCAAAUCUAGAUAAAUAAAAGAAAAUCAGGCUGUAGAAAGAAGGAAAAUGCAUAUGGAAAGCUAAAAGAGAGGUAAGAAAAGAUAACACAUAUUAUAGGGAGUUAAAGGUUUACGUUGCUUCCUCAAGGGAAUAUAUCCGGAGCUCAUACACGACAUGGUGAGCUGAUAUUGGAUGUCGAGUUGGGGAAGUUGAUGCCCCUGUCACGUCAUGGUUGACCUGGCUCUGCAAUCCAAGAUCAGCUUCCAUAUGGGGUAACAUACAUGCAACACAUGCAGCUAAAAACCUUCCGCAAGGGGAAAAAUGGGCACCCAUCUCACUGAAACAAAUUAUCAAAGUAAAAAUCCAAAAAGAUAUGGCCAGUAAUACUAUUAAAGUCCAAACAACCAUGCAAUGCUGAAGGAGAGAAAGAAAAGAAAAAAUAGCCAAACAUUUCAUGAUCAUCUACUAAUCAAAUAUUUGUUUGAAAAAGGUGUAGAUCCAGUGAAAACAAACUGCCUUUGACAAAAAAAAAAGUAUACACAAACUACCAACUGAUGUUGCAUCCUUUAUGAAUGUACUGGUUUUGCAAGACUUACGAAUAAGCUAAAAGCAAUGUAAAAGUAAAUAAAGCAAUAAAGUACCAUGAAAGUUUAGAACAGAAAGAAAACUACCUACAAAGUACAGCAUGUGGAAUGGUUAAGCGACAUCUUUCUGCAUCAAGGGGAGAACAAGGAUUUUUCAAAUCAUGUGGCCAAAUUCUGAGCUUCACAGUGCAAGGCAACUCUGCAGCUGCUGCUGCAGCGAGUGAGUUGGCAAGUUCAGAUUGGAUUCUGCUCACAACAGGUUGAGGCUCACUUUCAGCAUGCGGAAUACUAUUGAAUCCAGCACCUUCAUUAGAUCCAAUUGUCGACACCAUAUGAGUUCUUGAAGUACGAUGCCGGGUACUAGAUCUUCCAGUAACCCUGGAUUGGUUCACACCGGUUGGUAUUACUGAAGAAGUUAUGGCUGGAUUAUCCAUCUCACCAUGUGCAGAUGGAUUAUCUUGGGUAGCAUCACUUACCGGCCGCAUAUUCCGUUGGCUAGCUUGGGUCUGACCAAUUAACCACCCUUGCAAGAAAGGAAGUUCCCAAUAUGUUGAGUCACCAAAUGGGAAAAUAUGAUUGCUCCUCCCUUCAGGCUGCACUUCCAUAGCCUCUAAACUGUCCACUGCAGGUUGAGAAACUUCAGUUUCCAUUUCAUUCAAGAAAGUAUUAGUUUCUGUCUCUUCUGGUGCUGGAGAAGAGCUACUAGGUUCAAUUGGGGACAGCAGAAGUUCAUACUGCCCUGAAGGAGUUGAAUAUGUUAGCAAGCGCACUGAAGCAGAAGGAUCAACUCGCUGUAGCGCACUACUUGAACCAAUGUCCACGUUACUACGCUGCAUAGAUAUUCUCCCAUUAUCUCUAUCAAAUGAAGGCCAUAUCAGAAAUGGUAAAGACAUAAGAGGUAGUCCAUCUACCAAACCAGAACGAUCACUAGAUUGACCAUCUGCCAAAUAUACAGUAGGUGGAGGAUAGCGCAAAUAACCCAGAGAAGUUGCAAGUGUCAUCGAGGAAUCUGAGGAGUCAAGGUCAUUCACCUACAAAUAAGAAAAAGACAUGAUUAAAAUAUAUUUAAUCAAAGAAACGAUUAAUAUUUGUAACAAACAAAGAAACAGAAAAAUGACUACCCAAAAACUUACCUCAGCAGUUAAAAGGAAAGGAGCUCCAUGAGGGUGAAAAUGCACAGCCCGGAGCGAACGCCGUGUCUUCAGUACUAUGGUUGGGGAGGAUGUUUCCCCUCUCCUAUUGUAGUGCCAUAUGUACAACUAAUGCAAGAUUUAAUGGUUAAGGCCAUUAAUAAGAAUUGUGCAUCGGUAGUUAAAAUUUCCAAAUAAAAAAACUUACCUUGUGACCUGACGCAACUGCAAGCAGCUCACCUUGGGCAUGGAAAGCUAUGGAAGCAAUAGGACGCACUGUGUGGAGAAAAAAGCACUAAAAAUCAUAUCCAUGACACAAACUUAAUAAAAAAAGAAUAAAGUGUUUGUUUUAAUGAUUGAUAAUCCACAUUAAAACUUACAGAAAUCACGAGAUCCUAAACACUCUGCCGUUUUUGCAUCCCACAAGCGAACUUCGUGAUCCAAACUUCCACUAGCCAAUAUGUCUGGAUACAAGGGAUGAAACCUAACCUGCAAAAGCACAACCAGCUGGUGAGAAAAGCACAGCAAGCUAAUGAAAUGUAUCCAGUAGCUAUGCUUAAGUGUCAGAUCUGGUAACCAGCAAGUUUGUUUAUGAAUAAAACAACUAGAUUAAAGCGGCAACAUCAACAAAAAGUUUAGGAUAACACAACCCAAAGACUUUUGAUGAAAGCAUAAAACUUCUUGCAGAGAGAAUUUUAGCAUCCUAAGCAUAGAUUGUAUUCUAAGAAUAUGGAUGAAAAAUAAGCUUCAAUGUUUCACUAAAUCUCUUGAGGUUCUGUUUACAAAAUUGUUCACGGCAUCUUGCAGCAAGCUGAAGCAAGAAGCUAACAAUCAAAGUCAAGUAUUCUAACAAAACAAAAAAUUUCAGAGUCAAAAUAUCGAGUGUUGUAGACUUACCACCCACGGUGUCCUACGGUGACCACUCAAGACCUUUAAGCAAAUCCCAGUUUGGCAAUCAAUAAUCUUAACCGUAUGGUCUCCGCUGCAGUUACAGUUGCAAUUGAAAUUUAAUAAAUGAUACAAUCUUAGAAUAAAUAUAACUCAACACUAAGCUUUAGCCAAACCCUACACCAGGCCAAGAUAUAUAUACAUAGCAGGACUUACUGAGUUGAGGCCAGUGUCCUUCCAUCAGGGCUGAAGGCUGCUGCAAUAGUUGACCGUGGAGGAGGCACAAGCGGACAAUAUUUGGCAGACAAAUGCUGGAGUGACUCUGCCUCCACCCUGAAGGCAAUUCAAUAUCAAGACAAACCAUGAAUAGGAAGAUCUAACCGAAUGCAAAAUAAUUCAAACAACUAGGAAAAAAAACAGUUUGCUUCUGUUUUGUUGCAAGAAAAUAAAGAGAGAACGACUAAAUGAAUUGGCAGGUUACCAUGAGAUAAGGCUGUGUCUAGCAUCUCUAGCUGCUUCAAACUUUGGGCCAACGGAAUCAGAAUUAGACUUAGAAGGUUCCCCCCAUAGCUUCUUUGACCAAUGUUUCGUCUGCGGAGAAACCUCUCUCUGUGCUAACAGUCUCAGAACAUUGCUACCACUGCCAGUUAACAUCAGAUGCGUGCAAAUCAGUUUCAAAUCCAAAAUCAGUCCCAAUAAAUAUUCCAAUCCGAAUUUACAAAAUCAACACCGAAACCAUUUCCCAAAGCACGAAGAGUACUUAAAAUAACAUCAACCAAAAACAAUACCUCGGUACCUCCUCAAUCUAAAAAAAAAUUCUUCCUAAAUUCGAACCAAUUUCGAGAAUAGCAAAUCAAUUGAAAACCCAAUUCGGAUUGGAACUAAUUCAAUUAUGAUCACCAUGCAAAAACCACAACGUCAAAGCAUGAACACAUAUAAUUUGCAAAAGCAUUAAACCACAAGGCACCAAUUUGGUAACUGAAUUACACAAAAACUCAUCGAACUCCCACCAAUAUUCAACAACAAAGUCCAAGAUUCACCUGUGCUUGCACGGAUUGGGCUGAGGUACGCGCGGGACAGAGGUGAACGGAGAAUUGGGCUCGUCGGCCCACAAAGAACCUGCCCUCAUAAUUUUCCCGGGAAAAUGUCAUAAUCUCAGCUUUUCCGGCAUUCUACGGGUAAAUUCAAAUUGAUAGCUUAAAAAUCCAGUCAAAUUUUCACAUGCAGAUCAUGACGCCGUGGAAAGUGUAAAUUGAAUAGCAGGGGCGUUAGAAUCGAACUGAAUUGAACUGAGCUGGGGGGGUGGAUUCGGUUUCGGCGACCGCGACGUAGGGCGGUGGGGGAGCGAGGCGGCGAGAUCUCCGGUCGGCGGGGAGGGGAAAUUGGGAGGGGAGAGUGUCCGAGCCUCUGUGCGUGUGGCCGUGGAAUUUGGAUUUGGAAAAUUCCGUCUUGGGUUUCUCUGAUGGGCAUUGGACAGAGGAGGGAGAGGAGGGGGGUUGCUAGGCGGCUAGGAACCUAGGGGAAGUUGUUUGUUGGACGACAAUGCCCUUGGCCUUGUGACCUCAGCUGUGGUGUCGUGGAGUGUCAACGGCACGCGUUUUGAAUUUUGUCAAACGAGGUUGUAAGGUACCGUUUGGUAUGCAGACGAGACGGAAUCAAACCGGACGGGAUGAGAUGGGACGGGACAAAAUAGAUGUUCCGUGUUAUGUUUGGUAUGCGUAGGACGGAACGGAAUUGUUGUUCCAUUCUGCGUUUGGUAACCGCAUGAACGGAACAGAAUCAAAAGGUAAAUGACUAAAUUAUCCAUGUUCUAUCUGUUGUUUGGUACAACAUUUAUGUAUGGUACGGGACGGGACAAUUAUUUUUUAUUUUUUUAUUUUUUUAACUUUUUCAUAUUUGAACACAUAUAUACUUAUUCAUUAUUUGUUUUUCUCCCAUGAACUAACCUUAUAUUGAGAUAAGCAUUUCUACCGUUCUAGUAGAAGCAAGCAUGCACAUAAUUGCUUCCUAGAAAGGCAGUCCCAAGAGAGGUGAACAACCAAGUUAAACCAAAUUAUAGCAUAAAUCACGGAUACAGCAAUGGAAAACAUAGAUAAUUCGAUUGGAUUCAUUUUGUUUGGCAAAAUAUGCUGCUUCAAAAGCGACACUAGAUAGUAAAAGUGAAAACAGGUAAUAAAAACUGAAAAUUUACUCGAGGAACUGCAGUAAAAUGGCAAAAUCAAACAAAUUGGUAGAACUUCAUGUCGUCUAAGAUGACUAGAUUAGUAAAAUUCUGAAUAAAAUUCAACAGUACCAAAUCGAAAACAAAAGUAGCAUCCUGAAUAAAAUUUCUCCCAAAAUUCUGACACAUAGCCAAUGUUGGAUAUCAAUGCACAUCCCUUGAACUUUCGCCUGACACGUGAAUCAAUACCCUUGGGCCUUCUCCAGCUUUCCUGCCAUAAGCAAACAUGCAUUAAAACAGAACAACUUAAUGUUAAGGCUCCAGGAAGCGGAGAUGCACAAAGAAAUAUGCAUCCCCGAGUUACUUAAUCAGGUCACAAAUGAAAGAAAAACAAUAUAUCUCAUAAAUAAGACAUUGAACCACAUGAUCACCCUACAUGCAUUGACUAUACAGGAUACACGGAGACAAGGGUAGAAUCAUGGAUGCUUAACAGGCAACACUAUCUACCCUAAACAGAGAACAUUAAUAAAUUCAUUGUUGAUCAGGAAAAGAUGCACAAUGAAUUCAUCGCCUCUCUACAAGUCAUUUUCGAUCUUUCUCACAUUCUAAUUCAAUUUUCAGCCAUUGAGAUAUACAAAUCUCAAACUGCAAACAAAACUAUGAAUCAUUCCAACUUCAAGCAACUGCAAUGAACACAUCCCAUGAUUCAAGGUUGUGAAGAGCACUUGACCACUGCUAUGCCCAACAUCAUUAAAACGAUACAGAACCGACACUAUAAAAACAGUUUGACACGUCCUAUUCAAGAUUUAAGUUUAAAUGUCAGCUUUAUUGGACCCAAAUCACUACAAACAAAUACAACUGUAGUAACUAGUACUUCACACCAUUAACUAGCAGAUCUCAUAAUUAAGUGAAUUAACCCCAAUUUACCCAUAACUUAAUAGGUUAUGAAUUUAUUAAUCCCACUCAAAUAGCCCAUUGAAAAUUCAUAUCCAAAACAGAAAAUUUCUAAUACAUUAGAGCUGAAAUCCCCACAUAAAUGUAAUGAUUCAAAUAAAUAAAUAAAUAUGAACAGAAAUGAAAUGAGCCAGAGAUUCAUACCUUGAUAUAGUUCAUAUCUUGAUAUAGUUCAUAUCAUACUAAACCCCCUAAUGCUCAGAUGCCAUCCAUAAACAUUUUUAUUUUUCCUUCUAUUUCCUCCUUAAGCAUUUAUAUCUAUACACACUUAUUCAGCUACUCAUGAUCGAUCCAACAGAAUCCAAUCUAAUAGAACCCAAAGACAUAAGAUUUGUAGAUUUCAGCACAUAAAAAUCGAAACUUGAACACUGAAAAAAAUCCAACAGAACCCAAUCCAACAGAGGAAAAUCCAAAACAUAAUCCAAUCCAACAAAACCCAAAGACAUCAGAUUUGUAGAUUUCAGCACAUAAAAAUUGAAACUUGAACACUGAAAAAAAUGAAUCCAGAUAGAGAGAUACCUCUGAAUGCAGAUCGAACUUGGAACGGAGAUGCAGAGAAGUUCACGGAGAGGCACACAGAAGAGGAUGAGGAGGAAGGUUGCGAAGGGGAGAUGUAGGGAUGAAGAACUUCAACGGCAGAGAAGAGGAAGAUGAUAGAACUUACGGCAAAGAAGAGGAAGAGGAAGAAUAGGGUUUGUUGUAUGAUUUAGGUGUAAAUAUUGAAAAGGCUAAGGGGUAUUUUUGUCUUAAAUUUUAUGAUUUUUGUGUUCCACGGGAUGGAAAAACCCGUUCAGGUGGGGAGGGAAAACCAAAAUUUAACCUAUUUUCGUUCUGUGGGACACGCGCUCCACAUAAUUUUAGUGCACCAAAUAUGGGACGGAACGCGUCCGUCUCAUUCUGUUCCGUCCCAUCCCACGUACCAAACGCACCCUAAAGGCUCUGUAAAUCAUUUGUACCAAUUUAGAUGUACGAUUUCUUAGAGCAACUUCAGUAGGGGAGGUUGCUCGGGGGCCAGGCAUUCAAACAUGACCAAAUUGUUGGGGGGAUAGGGUCUAGCAUUGGGUAGCUCGAGUGACAGGCGAGGCCCGAGGAACAGGCCCAGCGUCUAUUGCCAGCCCGAGGGCUGCGUCAGGCGCGUGCGUAUCACGCGCGCAUAGGCGCGCGUGUUUCGACAAAAAAACAAGGAUAGGGCCCGCGACGCCUGUUUUGAAAUGUUACCGUUGGGGAAGCCACGUGGCUUUCCCAUGUCUGUUCGAUUGAAAUGGCCUUAUUUUAUGGACCAUUGGAUUUCCAACGGUAAAAAAUAUUUAAAAAUCUCAUUUAAUUUCAUCUGUUUGAUCUAAGAUUAGCAGUCCACGUUAUUAGGCUUUGUAAAUUAAAAAGAAAAAAGAAAAAACAGUUAAAAUUUCUGAAAUGUUACCGUUGUGCCACGUGGCACAAUCUGGAAUGUUGGAAUUCAAUUUUUUUUUUAAAUCCAACGGCAGAGAUUAAUUAGGUGAAUAAAAAAAUUUAAAAGAAUGUAAAAAAUUCUUUAAAAUCCGAAAAAUUAUAAAUUAAAAAAUUGAUUUUCCUUUUCUAUAAAUACAUUCUCAUUAUCUUCUACCUUACACCACAAUUUCAUAUUUUCUCAACUACUUUCAACCACAUUCCUAUCUUUCUCUCAAUGUUUGAAUCCAAUUUUUUUCCAACAAAAUGACUACUCAAGCAGGUACGAAUUGGACGCUUCUUGAAGAUGUUGUGUUGUGUACUAGCUGGGUUCAAGUUACUCAUGAUUCGCUUAUGGGUAAUGAGAUGCAGUUGCGAGAAAUGUGAAGUCUUAUUCAUACUAAUUAUCUUGAGAAAAUGGGUGGGCAAAGAACUAAAGAAUCGAUGUCCAGUUGUUAGAAAUUACUUAGCCAAGCGUUUAGUACGUGGAGAGACGCCUUGGCACAAGCUAGUCGUAAUCUUCGAAGUGGGGAAAAUUUAGCGGAUCAGGUAACAAUAUAUUAUUUAAUUGUUAGCUACUUUCAUUAUAAUUAUUUGUUAGCUACUUUCAUUAUAAUUAUUUGUUUGUAUUAUUUAUUUGUUAGCUACUUUCAUUAUAAUUAUUUGUUUGUAUUAUUUAUUUGUUACCUACUUUCAUUAUAAUUAUUUGUUUGUAUUAUUUCUUUGUUACCUACUUUCAUUAUAAUUAUUUAUUUGUAUUAUUUAUUUGUUACCUAUUUUCAUUAUAAUUAUUUGUUUGUAUUAUUUAUUUGUUACCUACUUUCAUUAUAAUUAUUUGUUUGUAUUAUUUAUUUGUUACCUAUUUUCAUUAUACUUAUUUGUUUGUAUUAUUUAUUUGUUACCUACUUUCAUUAUAAUAAUUUGUUACCUAUUCUCAUUAUAAUUAUUUAUUCUCCCGCAUUGUGUAGGAACUUCAAGCACAAGCUUAGUAUGGUGCCAAAAGCAAAAACAAAACAUUCACCCGGUUUGAAUGUUGGAAUAUUAUUAAAGAUUGUCCUAAAUUCAGAGUUGUGCCUGUCAGUUCAGAAGUUUUCAUGAACAGCACUCAUCUACACUCUAGACCCAAUCAUGCCUCGCAUGAUCAUGGUGAAGAUGAUGCAGAAGAAGUGUCUGAAACGCCCCCCGUUGAACAAACGUCGGGGUUGACCCGUUUUCCAAUUAGGCCUCAAGGUAAGCAGGCUUCAAAGAGAAAAUGUAAUGCUGCCAAGAAUGCUUAUGCAAAGUAUAUGGAAGACCUUGCCCACCAAGGUGAAUUGACUGUGGCCCGAGAAAUGGCUAAAUGUGAGGCUGAUAAGGCCAGAGAGGAUGCAAAAGUUGCAGCUUUUGAGAAAAAAUUUGAAGCUAAUGAGAGAGAAAGAGAACUACUUCGGCAGGAAAGGGAACAUAGAAGAGAAAAAAAGAAUGGCUGAACAAGAUCGUAACAUUAUGAAGGAGCCUUUAGAAGGGAAGUCUCUAAACCCUAAAUAUUUUUGGAAGUCAGAGAAAGCGGACGUGAGGCGAAGGAGGCGUGCAAGAGAAGCGAGAGUAAGAGGAGAUGGUCCUAGCACGACAACAGAAGAUCAUCCUAGCACAACAAGAUAAGAUCAUCCUAGCACGACAAAUUGGUUAGGUGAUGAUUAUCCGUUCACGAACUCAUAAUUUUCCAAUCAAUUCGGGUUGUAAUUUCUUAUUCAUUGAAUAGAGUACUUUAUGUUGUUUCCAAUUUAUUGAAUUUAGUACUUUAUUUAAACUAAGAGUAUAUUUAUUUAAUUUGGUUAUUUAUUGAAUUUAGUACUUUAUGUUGUUUCCAAUUUAUUUAAUUUAGUACUUUAUUCAAAACACAUUUAAACACACCAAAUAAAAUAACAUCAACACACCCAAAAAACACACCAAAUAAAAUUACAUCAACAUACCAAAAUUACAUUUCAACUCACUAAAUGAACUAAAAAAACACACCACAUAAAAUAAAAUAAACACAACAAAUAAAAACAAACACUAAUGAACUUAAGUAUCUUCAGCACCCCUUAAUUCCCACUGGUGCUCUAUCAAGUCAUUUGGUGGGCAUUGUGCAUAUAUGACCUUUGAAGUGCAGUAUAUCGUUGAAUGACCCUAUCAUUGUAACGUCCAUCCCUUUGUAAUGGCUCGUGUUGCACGGGUUCUUCGGUGGCAUCAUGAGCACAAUAUAUUUGUGUUCUGGAAUUGUUCAUCGUUUCUGGCUCAUAUUCAUCAACGACAUCAUAAUCGUACUCAUCUUCCACAAUCAUGUUGUGAAGAUUGAUGCACGUCAUUAUGAUGGAUCAAAGCAACUCUACAUCAAACAUUCUGGCAGCACCUCUAACAAUAGCCUAGCGAGCUUGGAGUAAACCAAAACAACGCUUCACAUCUUUCCUGCAUCCUUCCUGACAGCUUGCAAAGUAUUUUUCCUUUGCACUUCGUGGACAUGGCAUUGUUUUGACAAACGAUUCCCACCUUGGGUAAAUGCCGUAUACUAGGUAGUAUGGCCCAUCGUACUUAUGUCCGUUGACCUAGUAUGUGACUUUUGGUGCAUUUCCUUGCAGGACUUCGUUGAACAUUGGGGAUUGGGCAAGGACAUUGAGAUCAUUUUGAGCUCCUGGAACCCCGAAAAAGGCGUGCCAAAUCCAUGUAUCAAAAGAUGCCAUCGCCUCCAAAAUGAUACUUUUUAAUCCUUUUUUUGUCCCCAUAAGCGUCUUGCCAUGCACUUGGACAGUUUUUCCAAGUCCAGUGCAUACAAUCAAUGCUUCCAAUCAUCCCUGGAAAACUUCGCAUCUCGCCCUUCUUUAAAAGCGUUUCCAAGUCCAUAUGAGUAGGUCUCCGGAGGUACUCUGCGGUGUAGACAGAUUCGAUUGCCGAGCAAAACCUCAUUAAGGACUCAAGAAUGGUUGAUUUUCCCAUCAUCGUUAUCUCGUCCACUUGGUCUGUAGCUGCUCCAUAUGCAAGCAUCCUCAAGGCAGCAGUAAUAUUUUGCUCAAGCAGGAGACCCAUAGCACCAAAAGCAUUCGACUUUUGCAUAAAGUAAGAAUCAUGGUUGCAAAUAGCGCCCAUGAUUUUGUUGAACAAAUGUCAUUCCAUUCCAAAACGACGUCGAAAGUACAUAUUAGGGAAUGCACUGUUACGGACAAAAUAAUCGUCCAAUAGCUCUUCACCUCGUCGUUGCCUGUUUCUAUCAAUGUUUACAACACGGUUAGGCCUGCAGAUCUGAGUCACAACUUGGAUGACUCGACGGGAGUUUGAGACUCCUGCCAUUCUUGAUUCGUCAUCUCUCCGUCUACGCUCGUUAUCCUCUUUCAUCUCAUUUUGGGCCCAAUCACCAGCAUUGAACAUUCCUUCUGAUUGGUUAAACAAUUCUUCCUCUUCUUGAUCGAUUUCCCACAUCAUCUUUGAAGAAGAAGAAAAAGACAUUGUAAGAAGGAAGCAAAAACUAUGAAUAAUGAUAGAGAGUUUGGUGAAUAAUGAAGCAGAAACUAUGAAUAAUGAUAGGGAUUUUGGUGAAAAAGGAAGCAUAAACUAUGAAUAAUGAUAGAGAUCUUGAGAAAAUUGGUGUGAGAUUUCUGAGGAUGGAUGGUGGAUUAUAUGGAGGAUUCAGAAAGGAUUAGGUUGUAGAUAAUGCCACGUGGCAUGCUAUCAUUCGUUAAAACUUUGGUGGAAAUCUAGCCUAAAAGAUUGUACUCGGAUUAUGACACGUUGCACGAUGUGUUGGUUAAAAAUCUUAUUGGAAAUCCAUCACCAAUAAUUGUCUUUUCAGAUAAUGACACGUAGCGCAAUGACAACGAUUAAAAAUCUUAUCGGAAAUCCAUCACCAAUAAUUUUCUUUGCGGAUAAUGACACGUGGCGUAACGACAACGAUUAAAAAUCUUAUCCGAAAUUACAAAUAAAAUUAUUUUGAAUUAUUUUAUAAAUAAAAAAAUACAAAUAUUUUAUUGUUAUUGGCUUUUCGGAUAAUGACACGUGGCGCAAUGAGAACGAUUAAAAAUCUUAUCCGAAAUUACAAGUAAAAUUAUUAUGUAUUAGUUUAUAAAUAAAUAAUAAUAUUUUAUUACCAAUUGCCAGGACUAUUCAGUGCAGAGGUGCAGAUGCAAAAGGCAAUUGCCACGACAAUUACUGUUCAUUAAGGGCAGUUACUGUUCACUGGGUGGAUUAAAUAGUGAAUAGCCUGGGAUGAGGGCUCCUACACUGGAGUUGCUCUUAUCUGGCCUCAAUUGCACUUGUUUUGAGUUGGAGAAACUUUAUAUACCAUGUGAAGUUUAUUGUUCGGCUGAGACCUAAAAGUAUUGACGUUGUUCAUAUGUCAGACGUUACGCUAAAACUAAUAACCGAUGACUAUGAUUUGUUUAAUCAAAAUACUCGAUACAUUAAAAUGAUUGAUACGUGACUUUAGUUCACACUUUGUCUCCCACACGAGAAACCAAAAACUUUGGAUAAUAAUUAACAUGUACCAAUUGCUUAUGUGACCUAAUAAGAUUAUUACAUGUGUCAAGUAAAAUUCACUUGCCAUUUUCAAAACUAGACAUCCAUUUUCUUCUUCUCUUUAUUGUCUACGUGCAUUUCUCAUCCCAAUCACUAUCUCUUACCACCAUUCCUCUUUUAUCCAACGACCUCACCCCCAAUUCCUUAAUUAUCUGAAAACAAGUUCAAUGUCAACUUUCACAUGCUAAAAACACAAGAUGGAGAUAAUUGAGUUUGAUGAGAUCAACAAAUGAACAUUGUUUGUACCAUACUUGAUCAAUCCCGAAACUACUAAGUACCGAUCAGUAUUAUACCGUCAAUGACCCACAAGAAUUUCCCUCCUACCAGAAGGUGAUAGGAGCAUAUUUAUACGACAUAAUUAGCUUGUUCUUGUGCAUUUAUGUUGUUAUUUCUUAGUUAAUUAUGUAUUUUAAGCUAUUUUCGUGUGUUUGUAGGUCCAUAGGCCUUAUAAAGCAAUAAGGUGCAUUUUGGAGUAGUUUUGGGCUUGGAAUGAAUACCACAUGGAUGAAGCAAGAGGGAUGGACGAAAUUGAAGACCAAAGCAUGCUAGGAAUCAACUAAAGAGAGGAAGAAAAAUUAAUUCAAGUCAAGGAAGGAAAAGGAAUCCAAGAAGAAAAAGGAUUGACCAAAUCAAAGUUUCCUAAUCCUAAUCUACAAAGGUUUCAGCCAUAAUUAUGGUUCCUAGUCAAUUUGGGACACUUUAAUCUUAGUCCAAGGGGGAGCCGCACCUUUCCUUUCCCUUUCUUUCUUCCUUGCCGUGCAAGGGAGCCAAUCCCUUUCCUAUUUUCUGCACCAUUUCACCUCAUUUUCCUUUCUCUACCAUGUGCACAAUAUUCUUGUCCACUCCAUGCACUCAUUGUUGCACCAUCCCCCACAUUUCCCUUCCAUGUCGUGCCAUCAUCAUUGUCCCCUCCAUUGAUCCAGAUUUCAUGCACCAUUGCACUCACUUUCCCUUCCAUGCCAUGCACUCAUUCUUGUCCACUCCAUUGAAUCAUUACUGCAUCAUCCCUCACCUUUCCUUUCCCAAGCCGUGCACACCCAUCCAUGUUCCCUCAUUGCAUUCAUUUCUGCACCAUUCCACUCACUUUCCUUCCAUAGCUGUGCAUAAUAUUCCUUGUCCCCUUCUUUGUAUCAUUACCGCACCAUCCCUCACCUUUCACAUUCCAUACCUUGCACUCAUUCAUGUCCCCUUCAUUGAAUCAUUGAUGCACCAUACCAUUCCUUUUUCUUUCCCUAGUUGUGCACUCCUUCUAUAAAAGGAAGUGUGUGUAACAGCCAUAAGGGCAGAUUUUGAUCCAUCCUCCACCACCAUUCAAUACAUCCAAAAACACAUCCAAACACUCAUUGUCGUAGCCAACCUUCAUCCUUACACAUCCAUUCAUCUUCUCACCCAUUCUUCCAUACAAAUCACCACCCAAACCAUACACCAAACCUUGUGCCGUGAGUAAAGAAAGAAGGGAGCACUCUUGGAUGUUCAAGCUUGAUUGUUGAAGCAUUCUAGGUGUAAUUCGUUCUAUAUUUACAAUGUUUAAAUUCUUUUUCUUUCGUUUUGCUGUGAACAUGAGUGGCUAAACCCCUCUUGGCUAGGGAUGAUUUCAAAGCCAUGAUUAUGUGUGUAAUAUGAGUUGAUAAAUUCCAGUUAUGAAUUCUUGAAUCGUGAAUGCAAUUGGCUUAACAGUUUGAUUGAUAACUUAUUUGUAUUUGUUGAUUAAGGGUCGACACUUAAUUGGCAUGCAUAAAUCUGAUGCUAGAGUAUAAGGAAGUUUCACAUAAUCGUUACAAACUCAUAUUCAUAUGUAGUGAAGGUCGUUGGUCACGAUCGCAUUAAGUUUAAUUCCUUGCAUAAGUGAUAUGAUGUCAUAGUUACAAGUGCUUUGUCAAUGCUUAUGAUUUUCAUUGAACGUAAUGAUCUUUGAUUGUAUCUCUAUUAUGAUGUCAUGUAGGGAACUUUUGAAGAAUACUUUGGGUUGUCGAAUGAUGUCAUCCAAUCCAAUAAAACAAGAAAAAUCUUAGGGUUAACUAGUGAUGUCACGGUUAAUUUGGGGCAUUGUCGUUCAUAAUUCAAUGAAGUAGUAACUGGAAAUCGAGUUGUUUGCAUACAUCUCAUGUGUGGAGGAAAAGCCUCUAGCUAGCCCAUCUAAUUUCCUAAAAUUGUCUUCAAACCUGUUUUUAAGUUACAAUUUGUUUUGUUAUUUUAAAUUCGUCCAAAACAAAACCCCGCUUUACUUUCUUGUUUCAAAUUGUUUUUUGUGUGUUUUAAGUGUUUUGAGUCAAGCCCAAACCUUAUUUUCGUCCAAAAUUGUGUUUAGUGUCAGAAACUGCCUAGUUGGUGUUUUUAGGCAAUUUUGAGUGUUUUUAGCUUAUUUUGAGUCUUGUGAACUAGUUUUGUGUCUUUUGAUCUAUCCUAUUGUUUUUAAGUUUGUUUUGUGUCUUUGAGUCAGUUUAGAAUCAAUUAGUAAUCCCUCAUAAUCCCCGGCCUAGAACGAUCCCUACUUAUACAUAUACUACAAUUGUCAAAAGAGGGUUUAAUUUGUGUGUUAAGUUAAUUUUCGCAUUAGGAGGCCAAUCACAACGUGACACAUGUCAACAUCAGAGGCCAAUCACAGGACGACACGUGUCAAUGUCAGAAUAAAGCUAGAAACUCUCUUUUAUAAAAGGAGAUCAUUCUCCUACAAUAAUCCCUAAUGUCAUUUGUACUAAACUAUUCACUAGAACUCCUCUAAAUGAGAGCUUGAACCUAUGUAUUUGUGUUUGCUUCCUUGUCUCUAUCUCUUUACAUACUUAUCCUCACUAGUGACCAGAGUAAUCGAGCGAAAGUCAUAAACUUGACACUUUCUGUUGUACCAAAGUCCUUGCUGAUUUUGUGCAUCAACAUUUGGCGCCGUUGGUGGGAAACAUACUUAUUCCUACUCUCUUCAUCUUUGUCAAGCUAGUUUCCACCAUUCGUACGCUAUCUUUUGGCCAUGCAUCCUUCUCCAACAUGGGGAGCGAAUGAAGCCACAAUACACAGAACAACACCCAUCAUCGCGCCUAGUGCGAGGCAGUGAAAGAAUGAACAAAAGAAGUUUUCUCUUCAAGCUAAAGUCGAAGAGCUAGAGGCUCAGAACAAUAAGAUAGCAAUGAAGAACGAAGUCCUUCAGAAGCAGUAUGAGAAGCUCUUUGAGAUGCUCCACGAGGCUAGGCAUACUCAAACACACGAGCUCAUCGCCCCUGUGGAAGUGAACUAUCAUCUGGGUGCUCCCCAACACGGAGGGUCACCGGUCUUCAACAUGGAUAUUCCUGAUGAGGAACGAGCUACUUAUCAAUGUGGUGAUCAACAUAAGACCUCUCUCAACCUAGCUGCUUCGACCCGAAGCAAGAGAAGUGGAGGAAGGCACCUCCUUGCAGAGGGAGUGGAAGGAUCGAAAGCUGUUUAUCGCGACUGUCGGGACUUCUUGGGCCAACGUCGAGAGAACCCCAUCCACAUAAGCUCAAAGAUUAAUGACCCAAAGGUUUCUAAAAGACUCAGUCCCCUACCACGGCCUAGGCCAGCUACCAAUCUAGGGAAUGAAUGAUAGGUCCCAGAUGAACAUGAGGGGAUAGAGGACUCAAAGGUGUUCCGACAAGCACGCCCUGGAAGCCAGUACGGUAAGUCCAAGGAAAAACCACAUGCCUUCGAUCAAACUUUGCGGUACAUGACUUCAUUCAGGACCCCAUUGUCCUAUAACUCCUCGAGGAAGUAAACAAGUUGAAAGCCGAACGUCAAGCUGAGAUACCUGACUAAAACUAGCCCAAGCCUGGCCUUCUUACAAGGAGGAUCCUUGACACCCCCUCCAAGCAAAGACCAAGCAGAAGCUUGGCUUACAACUAUAUAUCGGGAAGGAGGAUCUGAUUGAACACCUUAACCUCUUUGAGUUUACCAUGACAUACCAGAUGCAUAUCGACGAAGAAAAUACUACAAAUUUAAAAAAAAUGUUGCAAAUUAAAAGUGGGUACAAACUAAAAAUAUAAAUAUAUGAUACAAAGUUUAGGCAUAAAACAUAAAUAUACCAUAUGUAAUUUUUCUAUUAUUGAUUAAAUAUACAAUGUCACGUGACGGUAUACAUGUAACACCCCACAUUGCCCAAGUGAGUGGAUCAUGUAAGCCUUAUAUGUAUAUUCUCAUAUCUACCUAACAUGAGGCCUUUUGGGAGCUCACUGGCUUCGGGUUCCGUCGGAACUCCGAAGUUAAGCUAGUUCGCGCGAGAGUAAUCCCAUGAUGGGUGACUCACUGGGAAGUUCUCGUGUGAGUUCCCAGAAACAAAACCGUGAGAGCAUGGUCGGGGCCCAAAGAGGACAAUAUCGUGUUACGGUGGAGUCGAGCCCGGGAUGUGACAAUUUGGUAUCAGAGUCAAUCUUUGGCCAGAAGUGUGCCGACGAGGAUGUCGGGCCCCUAAGGGGGGUGGAUUGUAACAUCCCACAUCACCUAGGGGAGUAGAUCCUAUAAAUCUUAUAUGUAUAUUCUCAUCUCUACCUAGCAUGAGGCCUUUUGGGAGCUCACUGGCUUUGGGUUCCGUCGGAACUCCAGAGUUAAGCGAGUUCGCGCGAGAGCAAUCCUAUGAUGGGUGACCCACUGGAAAGUUCUCGUGUGAGUUCCCAGAAACAAAACUGUGAUGGCAUGGUUGGGGCCCAAAACGGACAAUAUCGUGUUACGGUGGAGUCGAGCCCGGGAUGUGAUGGGGGCCCGGGCUGGGAUGUGACAAUACACAUGGGUACAAAACACAAAUAAAACUUUUAAAAAAUAUGGGCACAAAAAGAAACUAAUAUAUGGGUACAAAUUAAAAAUGAAAAAAAAAAUUGGUACAAACUAAAAAUAAAAAUAUAUGAUAAAAAUUUAGUUAUAAAUAUAAAUAUACUAAUUGUAACAUUUUUAACACUAACGGAAUAUAUUUAAAAAUAAAAAUAUUUUAUUAUUCAAAUAAUUAAUAAUGUUAUUAAUACCCAAGGACCUUGAUAAAAAAAAUUGAAAAUAAAUAGGAUUUUAAUCAAUGGAAUAGGAAAAAGAAGGAUGUGAACCUAAUUUCUCCUAAAAAAAAUACAUUGACCUUUUUUGCUUGUUUGAAGGUAAGCGGUGUAGAAAAAAGUUUCCUUUAAGCAAAGUCACAUGAUGUCCCUCUCCUUACACACUAAAAAUAAAUAAAUACAAUUUUGUUAUAUCUUAGUUACCUUUUAGCGACAUGCCACAAUUACUAUCCUCCAAACAAGCUUUAAGCAUUCUAAACGGGUGGUUCUUCUUGCUUGUGUCAAACUCAUCCUCAAUUUUUUUUAACGUUCACAAUUUGAUAUUAAUCGGCAUUAUCAACUUGUUUACCUCUCCAUUCAUCAUAAAACACGUUAAAUAAUUCAUCGUGUGCAUCUUUUGCACCAGAUCCAUCAUCAAAAACACCAUUUACCAACUUUCAAGAACCGUGUCUUAUGUGACCUAUUAGACAAUCACAAUUGAAAUCUUCUUUACAUUCUUCUUCAUGCUUGUAUUCAAAGAUUGACACGUCCCGACCCCGAUAUUCCCUGAAUGCCCGGAUAGGCACGUGCUGACCGACACCCAAGGUGACAAAAGCCAUUUAUUGAAUACAAGAGUAAUGAUUAGGAGGAAAUCUACGUGAAUAAUCAUUAAGAUCUAAAAGUAAUAGACAAAGUUUAAGGAAAUGUCUAGAGUGCACAAAAUACGUUCUAAUUCAAGAUCACAAAAGGAAAGAUCAUUACAAGAUAUCACACAAGUGAGUGAUAGACUGCUAUUGGUAGGGGAGUGCCUCAUACGUAGUGUCAUAGUCCUCGUUUCUAAGACCUGAAUGGGGGCGCAAAACAAAGGUGAGUCGACCAAGUUCAUAUAUACAAUAAUAAUAAAACAGUUAUCAAGAUACUAACCCCCACAGUUUAUAUAAAGAAAACUACUAGCAUAAUAAGUGAUAGGUUUAUUGAAAAUCCUAGUAUGCCAAAAACAUCUCAAAAGACAUAUCGCGGAAAUCAAAAUAUCAAUCGUCUCACAUAUCGUCUCGCAAGCACGGUACGCUGCUAGUAAAAUCACUGAAUAAAUAUAACUCCCGGCCCUAUGCCAGCACCAUGGUCUAUGCGCCCGUAGCCAGAGAUUACCAGAUCCCGACCCAAUGCCUGCUCCGUGUCCAUCAACCUGUAGUUAGGGAUUAUUUCUCUCGACCUAACUGCCAACACUAAAUCCUCGCCCCAGACGGCAUAGUGUCCACUAGGUACGCACAAAUAGUUACGCCUCUCAUAAAUAACCACUUCAUAGUAUAAAGUCAUCCAUCGUCUAUACUAUAAAGUCAUCCAUCGUCUAUACUAUAAAGAGGGGUUUCUAAAACAUGUUCUAGCAUCCUAUCGUCAUCCAUCAGAUAGUCUACCAGUUCAUGGUUUUUAUAGAAAAUACGAUAUAUCAAACUAUAGCUCAAUAUAGGCUAAUAAUUAAUUCCUCACAAAAAACGAGACGAUAAACAACAUAUUCCAUAAACAUGCUUAACAUAAAAUCAGUUCAUAAACUCGUAAGGGAUGCUAUUCAUUUAUGCAAUUAAACUAUGAAAUCAUGUAAUUUUAGAAGGGGUCCACUUACAGAUACUCCGUAGCAGCAGAGUUGUGCGGAAAAAGGAUUAAGGAAAUUCCCACUAGCAACUUCACCUAAACACAAAAAUGUACAAUUUAUCAAACUACCCAACUAUAGAAUUUCAAGAAAUGGAAACGGGUCUUGGGUUUGGAUCCAAAUUAGGGUUUAGGUUUUAGGUUAAAUAGGGUUAGUACCUAUUGGGUUUUGGGUUUGGAUAGUUUAGUAACAAAGGGGUGGUUUGGGCUUGAGCCCAAACCCACACAACACACAUACAAACAUGCCAGCACACACAUAUGCAUGCACAUCAUAUGUAAGAGGGUUUUAUUAAUUAGUAAAGAUAUAGAAAACAUAUUCACUUACACUUGACUUUCCAUGUAGCAUAUGUAAGUUGUAAACAGAAACUUACCAUCAUAUCAGUUUACAAAUAAAGUUGGACACACAACAAGUGUUUCAAUUGAUGCACUCUUUACUGCCUCUAACUUUAAAUGCUCAACAAAUUGUUCCUUGCUACACAUUCAACACACAAUAAACCAUCAAUCGAUGGGUUCUUAUGAACUUUUAAGUUUAAGAUCAUCAAAGACUGAGUCGGUUGAGACGGCGGUUUUUAAAAUGAGUAAAUUGAGGGUGUUUGGAUCUGACUGAUUGAGAGAGGAUUAACGAGGAAGAAAAUGUGGUGCGAGGAAAACAAAAGAACUUGAAGAAUAUGAAGGAACAAAAGAGAAAAAAGGCUUGAAGAAGAAGACAUAAUUAGGAGUUAAAGUUUAUAUGAACAUGUGAAAUGAUAAAUGAAAGGGCAGAACAUAUGAUGUUGACGUCUGAUAAAUAAUUGAAAAUAAUUAAUGUGUUUAACCACAUCUAUUCUAGGUUAUUCUUUCAAAUCCUACUGCUAAAAUCCUAUUACCAAAACCAAAACCUACAACACCAAAUCCUACUUUCAUUUAUUACUAAAUUUGAUUAUUAUCAAGUCAUACAACAAUGUGACUUUUUCUCACAAAGAAUUCAAGAAGUGUCCCAUAAGCCUUCCAUGUGAAAUUUGCUAACUCAAAUCCAACAUUAAUCAUGUUUCUCACGUUUUUCUUCAUCUCUCUUAUAUCAAGUUUAUAACUUCUCAAAUGAGACUCGUCAAUUAGGGCUGGGCACGGGCCGGGCCGGGCCCAUUUUUGAAGGGACCGGACCGGACCCGGAAUUAAAGGAGACGGGGCGGGCCGGGGCGGGCAUUACAAUUCUGAAAAUAGGAACCGGACCUUACCCGGCCCGGUUGAAACGGGCCGGUUCGGUCCGGGUACACGGGUCCAUUUUUUUUUUCCUGUUUAAAAAUGUUUGCUGCACUUCAAACUGCACAGAUUGCAGUUUGAAAAAACUGCACAGAUUGCAAUUUUUCACAAACUGCACAAACUGCACAGAUUGCAGUUUCUCACAAACUGCACAGAUUGCAGUUUGAAAAAUCUGCACAGAUUGCAGUUUGGAUUUUGCAGUGCACAGAUUGCACAGAUUGAAAAAAACUGCACAAAUUCCACAAAUUUCACAUAUUGAAAAAUUACAAGAAAUUCAUAGCCACAACUUGAACAUGGAAAUAUAUAUAAGGCAUUUCUAUAGAGAUACUAAUAUAUACACACAUAUAUACAUGCAAUUGCCGAUCUGUAAAGUUCAUAUAACCUACAGGUUUAUAAAUAUAACCAACUCACCAAAUAAAAAAUACAUUGAUCGUAGGUGAGCACAAAACAAAUUCACCAAGUGCUUACAUAUAAUAAUGAAAGAAGAAAUGACAAGCUACAAUGAUAAAGGACUUGAGUCCUCAUAUGUGCAUCAAAGAACACCAAACUGACCUGGAGGGGAAUGGUGAUCAAACCGCCACAACAAACUCCAGCAAAGAAACACUUAAAAAAUGCCCUGCACUCAGGUAAAAACGUGUCAUUCCCAAGUCAAUCCAAGCAAAUACCUACAAAAAGUACAAUGAAAUUAUGAACUAACCAAGCUUAAUGGAUUUGCUAUAAUCUUGUUAUACAACACUACCUCAAUAUUUAUGGGACUACGUCAACUCAUUACUAAAAAUUUGAAUCAUUCAUAACUUUGCACAUUUUAAACAUAAUAAAAAGGAUCUAAAUCAAUGAAACGAAUUUAGGCUACAUAAUCACGAUACAUAAAUUGGUGUGUGUAAAUCAUUCCCCUCUCUUUAUCAUGAGUAAUACAAUUUUUAGGCAAAUUGCAAUCAACUUGUCUUAUGUUUUUUCUUUGUUUAAAUAGGUGUGUAAAUCAUACCACCGAUGGUUACCUCUUCUUUUAUGUUGGAGCUCUCAAAUACAAGUGAUACAUAAAAGUUUUCACACAAUAGGCAGAGUCAAGUUAAUAAGUUGCAGCCUGGAAUAAAUUUGAAUAGAGAUAGCACAAACUAAUAUACUACUUGAAACGAUGAAUGAUGAAUACAUGCCGUAUGAUACAUGAAACAUCGAUGCUAUCUGUUAAAUACAUUACAGAAUAAUAUACAUACCUAGAUACGAAAACAUAUAUUGAAAUUCAAUAGUGUCCCCCAAAUUGUUAGCAACAGGUAUGUACAACAUAUCUCAUUAAGCAAACUAAUCCAAACUAUCCACAAAAGCUAACUGUCACCACGCCACCACACCACCACCUACGCCUGUCUGUCCACUCCCAAGUCCUACUCAUAUGAGAAACAUGAGGCCGAGUGCAAACACACAUACUACUGUGAACUACAUACAGCUACAUGGUUCCCAGUAUUCUCGACACCAACUCUAUUCAAUCUGCUAUGUAGAAACGCAGCAACUUCAAUGGUUUCACACCUUUUCCUAGCACAAAUAAAUCAAAAGACUAAAACUUGAAUUUUCUAUUGACUCUAGUUAAUCUCAAUUUUAAAAGGAAAUCAGGUGCAGUAACCUACAAAAACCUCAAUUCCUUCUUCAGAUUGGGAAGGGAAAUGAAAUCCCGUCGAGCAAUUCUCCAACAUUUUUAGGGGUUUCUAAACGAGUUUGUACAAGAGAAGAAACUAGCUCUUUCACUCCGUACUGUACAAGAGAGCCGAGAGAUUUUUUUUUAUUGCACUGAAAUUGAAUUGCAAAGCCAAUUAUUACGGAUUCCUUUAACCUCAUUUCAUCAAUCACAGGAGAAAAUUCACAAAACAUUGAGCAGCACAGGGAAGAGUUCAAACUUCAAAUAUCUAUAAUAUCGUAAGCAUUACCUAAUUCAAAAUUACCUAAAUUUUAGAGGGAUGAUGGUUGGUACUUGCCUUGGUACUGGUAGUAGCAGUGUCCUCGACGGUGGUGAUAGGGUGAUGAUGGUGGUUGCGACGGCGGAGGUGGUGAUGGGGGGGUGAUGAUGUUGGUCGGAGUCAAGGUGAGCACUGUGAGUCGGAGUCGCGACAGCGCUGUGAGAGUGGUGAGCACUGUGAGUCGG